rnacentral:tRNA from 1 species
GGAAGGUUGGCGGAACCGGUAUCGCGCCCGUUUCGAAAACGGAGGCCAGGGUCACACCUGCGAGGGUUCGAAUCCCUCACCUUCCGCCA